GAUGAAGAACGUAGUGAAAUGCGAUACGUAAUGUGUAUUGCAGAAUUCAGUGAAUCAUCGAGUCUUUGAACGCACAUUGCGCCCCCUGGUAUUCCGGGGGGCAUGCCUGUCCGAGCGUCAUUGCUGCCCUCAAGCACGGCUUGUGUGUUGGGCCUCCGUCCUCCUCCCGGGGGACGGGCCCGAAAGGCAGCGGCGGCACCGCGUCCGGUCCUCGAGCGUAUGGGGCUUCGUCACCCGCUCUUGUAGGCCCGGCCGGCGCUUGCCGACACAUCAAUCUUUUUUCCAGGUUGACCUCGGAUCAGGUAGGGAUACCCGCUGAACUUAAGCAUAUCAAUAAGCGGAGGA
rnacentral:misc_RNA from 1 species